rnacentral:rRNA from 1 species
UACGGAGGGUGCAAGCGUUAUCCGGAUUCACUGGGUUUAAAGGGUGCGUAGGCGGACAGGUAAGUCAGUGGUGAAAUCUCUGGGCUUAACCCAGAAACUGCCGUUGAUACUAUUUGUCUUGAAUAUCCUGGAGGUAGGCGGAAUAUGUCAUGUAGCGGUGAAAUGCUUAGAUAUGACAUAGAACACCGAUAGCGAAGGCAGCUUACUACAGGAUGAUUGACGCUGAGGCACGAAAGCGUGGGGGAGCAAACAGG